AGACAAGUAAGCUAAACUCAAAGCUAAUGGGUUCAUACCCCAGAAAUAGAGAAAAUCUCUCUUUUCUA
rnacentral:tRNA from 1 species